rnacentral:piRNA from 1 species
UACAAUCGUCAAAGAAGUUCG